GUUGUUGUCUUGGGUUUCUGGAGACUUUCUUUGCUCUUUCUCCUGAUGUUUAGUACCUUUGUAAUGUCAUCAUCUCCAGAGGAGACAGAAGACUACAGCACCCUAAGGAAUUCUAUCUGUGAGAGGUAAAUGAGUAGGUAGAUCAGCCCACCGGUGAAGCUUUCUCUUCCUUCUUCUUCACGAGGAUUAAAAUAAUAUAAGAGAAAGUGUUGUGAGAGCAGGAAGAGCUAGGAAACAAGCAGCAGGGAAACAGGUGAUGACUGAAAGGGGAUGGGAGACAGGGACCAAAGUGUGUAGGAUCAUAGAAUUCUUACAGUUGGAAGGGACCUCUGAAGGCCAUCUUGUCCAGCUCCCCUGCAAUGAACAGGGACAUCACAGCUAGAUCAGGUUACCCAGGUCCUGAUCCAGCGUUGCCUUGAAAGUCUCCAGGGACAGAACAUCCACCACAUCUCUGGGCAAUCUGUUCCAGUGCCUUGCCACCCUCACUGUAAGAGACUUUUUCCUUAUAUCUAACCUAAAUCUACCCUCUUUAAGCUUGACACCAUUUCCCCUUGUUCUAUCACCACAGCCCCUGCUAAAGAGUCUGUCCCCUUCUUUUCUGUAUAUUGAAGAGCCAGUUUCGGGUCACCUCACAGCCUUCUCCAGGCUGAACAGCCCCUGCUCUCUCACCCUGUCCUCAUAGGAGAGAUAUUCCAUUCCAUGGAUCACCUUGCUACUUGUUUUCUAAUGACAAUUAAAGACCAGUCAAUCUUUCCUGUAUAUUAGGGGAAAUACUCAUUUCAAAGAGCUGGUCAGCCUGUGCAUGAUCAUAAACAAGCAGCCAGCUUCAGUAUUCAAGUCAAGCUGCAUUAUCAGAGAAUAGCAAACGAGGAUAAUAGCAGACAUUUUUAGCAUGCGUUGUUGGAGAACAGACAUUAUUCUGAUAAAACACUAUAGGUUAAGUAUCCAAACACAACAAAGGCCUGGAAGAGAAAGGUGAAUAACUGGCAUAUUCUGGUGUAAUUUUAUUAAAAGCUAAUUUGCCUUUUAUUUGAGAACCUAGGUGUAAGUGAGAACACCAUUUACUAGGACUUGGUUGACUUUAUUGUAAGUAUAUAUUUACUGGCAUUAGGUAGCAUCACACUUUAAAAGCAGCCAAAGUAAUUCAACCGUGAAAGUCUAAGGAACAAAAUACUCAGCAUAAGGCUGUUGCACUGACAUUUACCAUAUUACCUAAUAGAUAGUUCACAUGGCAAUAUUUUAACAUGGUCUAUAUACUCCCAAAUUUUGUGAUCACUUUUGUGAUUACUUUUUACAGAGUUAAAUGGAAGGCCAUUAAAUGUGAGCAAAAUCAAAUCGAUUUUUUUUCCUGAUUAUUGUUUUCAGUUAAUGAAAAAGACUGCCGAAAAAAAUAAUCUCCUUUUGUAUUUACAUUUAAUACUAUUUUAACAAAUGGAAUGUGUAUAGCCUAUUUUUGUACAGUGCCACAUUGUAGUGCCAGGGAAAAGCUGAUUUAUGUUUAGAAGCAGUACUUACACAGAAGUGUUCUUGAAAUUCUGAUUUCCUUUGUUCCUGUCUACUUAACAUGGCCAGAAUUGCAACUCGUGCCCAAUGUGUAUUCAUUAAUAUUAUUGAACAGUUACUGGAUUUAUGAUUUGAAGUGUGCAUGAGCUUUUUUGCUCAUAACCUGGAAGCACUUAGAUAAACAGGAUUUGUUGAUACAAUAAAAAAAGAUUCACAAACAUUUCUUUCAAAUCCAAGCAGCUCUUCAUUUCAAAAUGUGUUUGUACAAUAUUCUUAUAAGUAGCGGUUCUUCUUACCCAAUUCCCAGUAUUUGCCUCUGACUGUAUUCUUUCUUUGCUCUGCUCUGCUUUUAUCAGCAUUAUGGAAUAAUCUCAGGCAUAGUAUUAAUAUUUGUUAUUGUUUUUCUAAGAACAAUUUACCUUUCCUGGAAGCCAGGAAAGCAAUGAACUCUACAGUGGGUAUUACCAUCAAGCUCCCUUGAAAAUAAUCCAUGUAUGAUUAAAUUAACUGCUAUGAAAAAGAGAUGGAAUCAUUUAAAUUUCAUUUUGAAGAUAUUCCUCAGAGCUGCUGUUUGUAUGCUACAGGCUUCUAGAGUUUUGGUGGACAACUGUGAAAGAAAAAAACUAAAAGAAUUUCUUCUUUUUUUUUCUUUUAGUGUUAUCCAGAUCCUGGCAAAAUAUUGGAAUGUAUACAAUGAUGAUUUAUAUCCUUGAUAUCCAAUGAAUGAGCAUCUACCACCUGUAAAUGUUUGGUAGGAUUUUAGCACUAUAUGGCACAUAGUCAUUCCAAUGGAUGUAGAAAAAUUUUAGUAGCAGAUGUGCCUUCUCAUGGCCACAGAGGUCACAGUCCUGAGGGCAGUGACUUUUCAUAUUAUACAGUCGUUAAAACAAGUGCAGAUCAUUUAGCACAGAACAGAUAAUUGUUGUAAAAACGAACCCCCAGUACAGCUUGUGAUGCACAUAGCCUGGACAAAAGUUCUCUUGUCUUAAAUUUUUCCAAAAUUCAAAUAUUCUGUUCUUGGCCAUUCCUCUGCUUUAACUUUAUUCUUGAAAAAACUCAAAUUCCUUUACUUGGCUGAAGUAUCUCAGAGAGGCUUCCCCCAUUUGACUCCCUGAUGCUGUAUUCCAGAAUUGCCGGUCACUUAACACAUAUGGACCCCAGAAUAUUAGCUUUGGCAACAUCCCCAGGCUCUUUGCAAAAUAAGAAUUCACACUUCCCAAGCCAAGUGUAAGUGGAAGGUUCCCACAACGCUGGUGAAUCCAGAAAGAUUCUUGUAGGCCAUUCACAUCCAAACAACCAAAGGGCUUAAAGCUGUUGAUUGGCAAUACCACUUACGGUCCAUUCUUGUGGUAAGAUGCAAGUUAUUAAAUUUUCCUUUUGAAGGCAUAUUGCUUGAAGGUGCCAGAAAAUUAGGGCUUUUCUUAGCCAGUGUUAAUAACGUGCAGUUUAAGCUGGAGAAUUUGAAUCUAUUCAAUUUCAUUUUACUUUGCAUGGAAGAAAACCUAUUCCUUAGCAACAACUUGAGUAUGGUAAAAAUAAAGGUUCUGUGGAAUUUUUUGUCUGUGACUUCCCUACCUGCUUAUCCAGCAAAAACAUGCAUUCAUCAGUCCAUCUCAAUGCCUGGAGCUGGAAUCAGCAGGAAGAAAAUCACAAGCAGAGGAAAAUUAUACCCCUUAUUGGCUCUGGGUUCACUUUAGCAAGCCACCCUUUUUCAGCUAUGUUGGUAUCCUGCCUGCUAACCCCUGAUUCAGAGGCAAAUUUUAAAAGCACUUCUGACACUGGGCUUUGCAACUUUUCAAACAAAUAGCACAUGAUUAAAACCCUCUGAUAGUGCAUUGAUGUUGAUCCAAGAAGGCAAAACUGCAAGCCAUUUAAGUACCGCGACCUGAGAGUUACGACUGAAAGCAGAGAGAGGAAUUUCUCCUUGGGAUUCUGCAGGCACAUGGCCUUGCACACCACUCUUCUACAGGAGGUUUAUUCUGUCUCUAGGAGGUUCCUACUGGGGUUCAUUCAGGGGAGAUUGAAGUUGCUCACUUGUUUCUUCUUUACUGAUGGCAUAAAGAUUCCUGCAUGGCUUUUUAAUACAAUGCUG
ensembl:lncRNA